rnacentral:rRNA from 1 species
UAAUACGAACUGCGCGAACGUUAUUCGGAAUCACUGGGCUUACAGGGUGCGUAGGCGGUGCGGAAAGUAGGGUGUGAAAUGCCUUGGCUCAACCAAGGCACUGCGCUCUAAACUCCCGUGCUCGAGUGAGUCAGGGGUACGCGGAACUUCCGGUGGAGCGGUGAAAUGUGUUGAUAUCGGAAGGAACACCGGCGGCGAAAGCGGCGUACUGGGGCUCAACUGACGCUGAGGCACGAAAGCCAGGGGAGCGAACGGG